rnacentral:rRNA from 1 species
UACGAAGGGGGCUAGCGUUGUUCGGAAUUACUGGGCGUAAAGCGCACGUAGGCGGCUUUGUAAGUUAGAGGUGAAAGCCCAGAGCUCAACUCUGGAACUGCCUUUAAGACUGCAUCGCUUGAAUCAUGGAGAGGUCAGUGGAAUUCCGAGUGUAGAGGUGAAAUUCGUAGAUAUUCGGAAGAACACCAGUGGCGAAGGCGACUGACUGGACAUGUAUUGACGCUGAGGUGCGAAAGCGUGGGGAGCAAACAGG